rnacentral:rRNA from 1 species
GGAAGUAAAAGUCGUAAACAAGGUCUCCGUCGGUGAACCAGCGGAGGGAUCAUUACCGAGUUAUACAACUCAUCAACCCUGUGAACAUACCUAAAACGUUGCUUCGGCGGGAACAGACGGCCCUGUAACAACGGGCCGCCCCCGCCAGAGGACCCCUAACUCUGUUUUUAUAAUGUUUUUCUGAGUAAACAAGCAAAUAAAUUAAAACUUUCAACAACGGAUCUCUUGGCUCUGGCAUCGAUGAAGGACGCAGCGAAAUGCGAUAAGUAAUGUGAAUUGCAGAAUUCAGUGAAUCAUCGAAUCUUUGAACGCACAUUGCGCCCGCCAGUAUUCUGGCGGGCGUGCCUGUUCGAGCGUCAUUACAACCCUCAGGCCCCCGGGCCUGGCGUUGGGGAUCGGCGGAAGCCCCCUGUGGGCACACGCCGUCCCUCAAAUACAGUGGCGGUCCCGCCGCAGCUUCCAUUGCGUAGUAGCUAACACCUCGCAACUGGAGAGCGGCGCGGCCAUGCCGUAAAACACCCAACUUCUGAAUGUUGACCUCGAAUCAGGUAGGAAUACCCGCUGAACUUAAGCAUAUCAAUAAGCGGAGGAAAAGAAACCAACAGGGAUUGCCCCAGUAACG